rfam:Gossypium hirsutum cultivar TM-1 chromosome 10, whole genome shotgun sequence
UAUUUAAAAUUUUAUUCAUUUCUAUUGUUAAAAAUUGAUGUGGUAGAUAGAACAAUCAAACAAUUACAUGUGACAAGUCACGUGUACCUCAUGUUGACGUACAAGGACCAGUUCUUAACAUUUUAAAUGGAUGAGAUUUAUAACA